CUCGAGGUCGUCCAUGGAGGUCCGAACGUGAUACAGGCUUGAGUUACGCCAUACACACUUACCUAUCUAUGUAUCGUAGUUACGAGAGCAUCAAGGUAUGAACGUGAUACACUACCACCUAUUUUUACUCGCAUGGACCAAAUCAUCAAUAUUAAAAUUCUGAUGUCCACCUAAAAGUAACUGUAUGUAGCAGUCAUACAGUAGCCCAGUAAAUAGAUGCCUAUGAAUGCAAGCUUCUAAAUUUCAAUUGGUAUGAGCAGGUGCUUGUGCAGCCAAUAAGGGCAUCUCCAGCCGCGCCCCUAGGAAGGCCUCCCCAGGCGAUUUUUCGCACCGGCGCCGAAAAAACGGCCCAGUCGCGCCCCCAGUAGCCCGAUUUUCGCCGGCUUGGGCCGAAAACAGCACCGGCGAACCAAGCCCGAACCCGGCGCGCGGGGGGCGCACGGGGGCGCCGGGGCGAGCUGUUUUGGUGCGAAAAAGGCGCGGGCCAGCCGCGUCAGCGACUCGGCGCCUCGUCUUCCCCCAACGGCCUCGGUUCCCGCGGGGAAUCAAUGGCAAGGCUGCCGCCGGUUAGCCCUGCCAUUGAUUCCUCACGGGUGGUGCUUCACGGGACGGCGCGCCGACGCCUCCCCUCCCUCGCACGCGUACACACGGGCGCGGCCCGGUUAUAAAAGCCGGCGGCCUCCACUCGCCUGUGCCCACACCAGCCCCACCCCUCGCCGCCGUCCAGCCCCUUCCUCUCCCUGCCUCUCCCAAGCCCCGCCGCCCAGCCCCUCCCUCUACCUCUCCCGAGCCCGCCCAGCCCCGCCGUCGCCAUGGAAGAACGCUUCCCCGGAGACGAGGCGGCGGCCAACGGCUUCGGCCGCCGUUCGCUCCCCGAACAGGAGUCCUGGCUCCUGUUCCAGGCGAACAUCCCGGCGCCACUGGACAUGCGCGUCGGGCCAACGGGGUGGAGACUCAGCACCGGGGGAGUGCCCAUUCCCCCGUUGCCCGACGCCGUGGCGAAGCCGAAGUACUUCGCCGAGGAGGUCGAGAUCGUGCGCGCGUCCCUCGCCGACGCCCAACUCUCCCUCCCCCAGUACGCCGCCGACAACCACGCGGCUUGGGCGGCGUAUUUCGAGCGCCGCCAGCAGCAGCGAUUGGCGUCCACCAAUGGCGCACCGGUGGUCGGCGGCCGGCAGAACAGCGAGGGGCGCCACCUCUGGUGGGGCGUCUCCGGUCGCACACUCGAGGGCGUGCUCACGUACCUCGUGGGCGGCAACAACCCUCCGUUGGCGUACCCCCCGGCGCAGCACCGACGCGUCGGGCCAUGGGCGCCAAGGAGGUUCGGGUCCUCCUCCUCCUCUUCCUCCUCCUGAUCCUCAUCGCACUCCUCCGGCACUCCGGGCCUGCUCGGCGUCAAGGCUGAGCCCGCGGCGGAGUCGCCGCUCGGCCGGCGCACUCGCAACACCGGCAUCGUCAUCAAUGAGGGCGGCCGGCGCGCCUCCUCCUCGUCGGCUCCUCCGCGCUUCGUCAAGCCAAAAACGGAGCCGGGGCUGGCGCCGGUGAAGACGGAGCCGGGGCUGGCGCUGGUGAAGGCGGAGUUCGACGACGACGAUGCGGCCCUAGAAUGGGCGCGCCAGGACUCCAUUGCGAUGGAGAAGGCGCGCCGGGAGAAGGUGAAGGAGCGCCAGCGCGCCGCCCUGCGCCGCUUCGAGGAGCGCCGACGCGGCCGCGAUGAAGACGGGGUCGUCGUCCUAUGCGACAGCGACGACGACGACGACGCGCCGCCGCCAGUCCGCCAUGGCGACGCCGGGUCCACCAGGGGCGACCGCGUCAAGGAGGAGAAGGCCGACGACGAUGAUGGCGGCGACGGCGGCGACGACUUCAGCCCCUUUCUUUUUUAGAUUAGGUUAUCGUAAUGAAAAUGCAUGAAUUUCGCCGAAAUUUGCCAUGCUUAGCCGAAAUUUAACUACUUUUUAUCAUAACUUCGCCGAACGGCCCUUUCUUUUUUUUAAUACGCGCCUGGGGCGGCCUUGGGGGCCGACGGCUGGGGACCGACUCGUCCCCAGGGCCUUUUUUGCGCCGGCUCACCCCCAGGCGGCGCUUUUAGACGCCCCCUGGGGGGCCAACGGCUGGAGAUGCCCUAAUGGUUAUUGGCUCAGAAUUGUCGUUUGCCGCUGACCACUUCUCAGAUUUCUAUUAACCCGAGGACCAGAACAAGCAGGUUGAUGUGCAAGUAUAUAGUUUCUAUUGGAAGAGUUAGCUUCAGACAACGUACGAUCUAUGCAAAAUCCAUCAUCUCAUGCUUGCAUAACAAGACCGAUGGUAAUUUGUUUACUACUCUACUUACUGCAGUUUACAAAUUCUUUUAUGGCUUCAGUUCCCACGCCGCUGCGCGUGCAGGUCUCUGCUUGCUCAGUCCUCUUGCCGCGACACCAUCACCAAGUCACUCAGAGCCCACCACCGCCACAAACACCCCAUGCCAUCACGCGUGACAGUCGCAGCAUCACAACUUCACGGUAAAUCAUUAAAAUUUCAAAACACCAGUCAAUUCAUGUUCAAGUCGAGAACUAAUAAUGUAGACGACCUUCACGUCGAAAAUGCUGUCUAAAUAAGCACAAUACAAAUUAUUUUGGCCUGGUAUACCACUAAAACAUUUUUGAAAUUAUUUGAAAAGUAUAAGAUAUUCAUUGUUAUUUCUCCAUUAAGAUAUCCCCCUUUGUUAGUACUGCCCUAUUCCUUUUCCUUUUUUCAGGAAAGUGGAAGGAGUGAUGAAGAACUAAAACAUAGUUACAGUGGGCGUUUUUUAUAGGAACAAAACUGAAGAAUUUGACAUUAAUAUAAUUUUAGUAUUAAUUCAAGUGUCCCUGGUUUUGCUAGCAUCAGAUCAUGUUGACCUAAUUGUCCAUGGUUACACUCAUCUUCAAACGGCACAACUUGUUUUGCUGCACAUCUUCUCUUACCCUAUGACGAACAGGUAUUCUAUGUUUCAUCCCUCUCUUAUUUCACACUGCAUUAACAAUGUUUUCUCAGUACGUGGAUUUGCCUAACUUUGACUUAUUGAUUAUUCAUUUUGUUACUGAUGUGUACACAAACCCUGCCUAAUUAAUUUAGUCUACUAUAUCUAACCAUAUGAAAUCUCAAAGUUGAUUCAGACUACUUGCCUGAUGGUGUGGUACAUUACCUCUGGGUUUUUUUUAACUACGAGAGCAGAACGACGGCGCCGACGUGGAUGACUCGGAGCUCAACCUUGCAAAGGGCCGCGAGCAGCGGCGACUUUCUUUUCCACGAGAAGAUGACCAAGGGCGCCAUCGGCCAUUUUGUCGUCGUCGUCGAAGAGUCCAAGCUCGUCCCCGCAUCGGUUGCAUUGGUGCCGAUCAGGUGCUAAUCUGAAUCCUUAUCCAAUUUCAUGUGGACUAUAAAAAAACCAGGGUUGAAUGCACAUUACCAUCACACUGCCAUUUAGUUUUUGUUGGUACGCAAUAAUAUUGCUACAAUUCUAUUUAUAGAUUUUUUGCCCAUUUUGUCUUUGUCUUUGUCCAUGGUCAGAUCAUGGUUUUUAGGCUUGAUUGUUAUGAGUCAGUAAGGUGAGAAUGAGCGGUAAUGGUUUAACUAAUCAUGCCAUCAUGUUUUUAGUAUCACUAAUUUAUCUAUGCUAAUUCUUUCAACAUUAUUGUCAUUGUUGAUGAUUCUAAAAGGUAAAGAGAAAUGUUAGAAUGCACCUUCUUCUAUGGCAUGCGGCCCCGACGGCACCGCAGAUGUCUAUGCGGUCUUCGUCCUUAACCACUGUCUAGCGCCACUACCCUGCAGCUUCUGUGACCUCUGUUGGCCUCCUCAUGGCUCCUUCACCCUCCAGCUUCCCACGUGCUUCUCUGUUGCACAAAAACUUUCCUGCCCAGGUGGUUGCCGGUUUUCUGGAUUGGUUUUGCUACUAUUGAAGAAGUAGAACCAGUUCCACCCAAAUCGAUUGUUUAUUUGUGUAAUGCAAUCUCUAUUAUGCUCAGAGUCUGAUUGGCAUUUUCCAAAUCAAUGCACGGGGACCUUCAAUUUGAUUCAGUUUUAUCUUCUACUGCAGAUAGGGAAACAUGGACAUUGGAUAUCCAUUUCUUAGGUGUCAAUCUGGUGCUUAGGCUGUAUUAUAGUACAGGGCAGAGUUCUUCCAUCUACUAAUUUAGGUAAUCUGAUUUAUAGGUUAGGCACGCACUUUGCUUUAAGCAUAGUUACCUAUUCGAUGGUGACCAACCCUCUCUCAGAAGCGCCGUACAAACAAUUCAGGCGCUUGCUUAAAAUUUACUCCCUCCGUCCCAAAAUAAGUGUCUCAAUUUUGUACUAGCUCUAGUACAAAUUUGUACUAAACUCAAGACACUUAUUUUGGGACGGAGGGAGUAUUACUUUAGAGACAUGGGGAUCCUGAGGUUGACACACUUGAUUCUUGCUGCUGCUUAUGCAUCCCUGAACUUUUGUUAAAUGUAUGAUUAUCUGGAUAUUCCCAAUACGUUAUCAAGUGUAGGGUUCAGAAAAUAAGGACAGCCAUUUGUUCCACCUUUUGUAGUUCAUCAAGCAUAUGAUGUUAAGAAAAUGACAACUUGCCAGGUUACAGUUCUGAAAUAUUUUCGUUUGUAGCAUAUGUACCAGCAAGAUGGUGAACUAGAUUCAAAUUUGAUACUCCUCUUUUCCGUGAAAUAUUUCCUCUGCAUUUUUAUUUGUCAUUUAUAUGUUUGGAUGCUCGUGUUGCAAGGUUCAGCCACUGCUUCAACAUUGUAGGAAUUUCUUGUGGUCUCGAAUGGAUGAACAAAGAGCGCUAGCUUCGUAAUGCCUCUGAGACGAUAUGUCGGAGAUGGUAUUGAUUUAUUUUUUAAGGUAAGCAAGCGACUUAUUUGGAGUAAUCUCAGGGAUAUGUCUUUGUUAUCAGUUGCAAGUUACUGUGCAGAUUGAUAAUGGUAAAAAUAUUGUUGGAUAAAUCUAAUUCCAUUGAAUUAACAGAUUUUUUCCGUUGUGGGCAUUCGAAUAUUUAGAGUAAUAUGCAUGCACAAUUGUCUUAAAUCUACACGUAACCAGUCAAUCAUUACUUUGUACUAUAUGCUAUGAAAAUAUUAUGUGAGCAAACUUAAGUAGUAACCUUAUAUGGCUAUGCACUGAAAAUGGUCUUAGGUACGUCCAGUUUCAAUACAUUCACAUAUUGAGGCCACUGUAAAUGCUUCUACUAUUGCAGGUUCAACUUGAAUCUUCACUUCCGUAGGCAUGUAACUGAUUCGCUUCUUGAUGAGUUUAUAGCUCGCUGAUUCAAUCCAUAUAGCUUGCGAGGUGCUGGUAUAGUCUUAUACGACAUUUGAUCUACAUUUUAUUAAAUGUCUUUCCCUUAAAGAAAUAUAGUGCGAAGAAAUUAAAUUUUAGAAACAACUGCUGGUUACUGUUGUUUGUGAAUUCUAUUUAAUCCUUCACAAUUUUUAAAUAGUUUAUCUUGUGCUUCCUUAACUAUUUGUCUGCAUAUAUAUACAAUUCUUUUGAAAUUUAUUGUUAAUAAUUUCUUGAAUACAACAAUACACUAAAAGGCAUGUGGUAAUGCAUGGGCAUCUAACAUGCUAAAAAACACGUUGACCUUGGAGAUGACCUUAAUUAUUUAUUUGAUUCAUUUAUAUGCAUUGUAGCCCGUAGCAACGCACACGCGCUCUACUAGGAUAUUUUUAAUGCCAUCGGCACCCUCGCCAUGCCAUAUUUUUGAUGACUACAUGUCAUAUUUUUAACUAACCUUUGACCUUCCCCAUCGGCACCCCCGCCAUGCCAUCUCAACGUCAACGGCCCGAUGACGCCGACCCCUUAUCAACGUGGCCAUAUUGUCCGGGCGGGCAAGUCAACGUUAGGUGGCCGGAUCCCAAGAUGGAGGUAUGUGUGCUUGCUUGUUGAUGUGUUUUUGUUCGAUGUGCUUGCUGCCAUGGUCGAUUUCUAUCUGUGUUGACAUCAGCUUUCUCCUGACGGCAUAGUCACGUGCUCGACCAUAGCGACAACUACCAGGAAGGCAGUGGCCUCACCGAGGAAGACAUACGUGCUCACGCAGGGCGGCCUCCUACCGAUCCACGACUUUCUUCCGGGUGGCGGCGCACACAAGGUCAUCCACAUCGGCUUCAACAAGACGCGAGUAUCCACACGGAGGACGGCUUGCUUGCUGAGGGCGUUGUCCACCCGGACGACGGUGUGCUGUUGACCACGCAAAGGGCCGCAUCCACCUGGACGACGGUGUGCUGGCGGAGUAUGGCGUCCGCCCGAACGAUGACAGAUAACGUGGCGAACGAUGACGGCCACCAGGUACUCCCCGGCGAUGGCGGCAGCAUCAUCAUGGACGACAGCAUGCUUAUGGCCAGUGACGUGCUUGCAGAAGGCGUUAUGAGAGAGGCAACCAGCAGGACGGUGACGACCACGUGCACGCACUCAAACACAGCAGCAGCAAGCACAGGACGAUGGCGACCAGGUGCGCAUGCAAGCAUCUCCUAGGAACUGGGGCUGAACGACGAGGCUAGCAUCUCAUACGAGCUCACGCUCAAGCACAAGAUUGUCUGGGCUGGGUGUCUCAUCUGGCCUUGCUGAUAUGUGUCCUUUUCUCCUCUCAUGAGAUCAUCAGGUGCCAAUUAUGCUGGAGUUGUAUACCUUGUAGGUAGAUAAUACACUGCAAGGCCUGGCCAAUAAGCAUUUCCUAUUUGGCGAUGAAUGUUACAAUAGUAGGAUCUGCAUCUAGGCACCCUUAAAUGAACUGUAACUUACAGAGCAAGCAAAUCAUAUACAUUGUUUGUGGGCCCAAUCUCAUUCAUAUAUAUAAUCAUUAUACUUCCAUUAUAAAUUUGUUUGAAAGCAAUUUGGUCAUCUCUAACGUUUUUCCAUCACUGCUUGAGAAAGUAGCUCUUUUCGGUUGUAGCGCUCAAAUAUGUCAAUGCAUAUCUCUGUCAGCUGAAUGAGUAUCUUGGAAUUCUUAGUUCAUAAUAAUUUUCUGUUCAGUAUCCAGCUGUGACAACAGUAGCUUCUUGCAUCUACGCGAAUGCGAUGGUUAAAUAUACUGCAACUUAUAUUUGAGCAAAUCAUAUAAACUUAAAACACUUUGCCUGACAUUCAUAACCUAUAUACUUCCUCCUGCCCAAAUGGGUCAACAAGGAACAAAGGGGUCGACACAUGGAGAAGUGGGAGCAUAAAAUUCAAAAGGUACUGAACAUGUGUAUGGAUUACACCGGUGAGUGAAUGGUGUGGCACAUUGAGUCAGAGAGUAGUUGCUAGACUGGUAUGAAAAACAGUUGUUUCUCGAUUAGAUUAAGUCUAAACUUAUCUUCAACAUGUGUGCUCUUUUAUCACCAUUUUAGAAGAGGUUCAAUGCAGAAUCCUUAGAUUGCCAAUUUUUACUUCAUUGGAAGCACUUUAUCGAUACGUUUGGAAUAAUUCUCAGAUUCCAUGAAACAUGUUCGUGACACCAAUUUUAACUAAAGAAUAAAGCAAUCUCAAUUUUGUUCUGUAACAAAUUAAAAUAUUAUCCUUUCCUAUGAGAAAAGAAAACAUAUACUACAUUGAAGCGAUUGCCAAUUGAAGGAAGCAUUUUCUAUGGUCAGUCCAAACAAAAAAAAAUUAACCAUAUGGAAACAAUAUUUAGUUGCCAUAGAUGUAAUUUGACCCGAAACAGUUUUCUUACCAUCCAAAAAAAGGAAGUGAAAAAACCUUCCAAAAGCAAGGAGUAUCAACAUUUGAAACAAAAUAUAUUUUCGUACAGAAGUAAUUUACAUCUAUGGAAGCAAUUUUUUGUUCAUCACUAACCUGAAUCAAUAUGUGUUAUGUUCUCUUUCAGAGAAGUGAACUAUGAAAUCCCUCCUCAUUCCAAACAAUGAAAUUAUGAGGCUGAAAGUACAAAUUUCAUACGACAUGGCUGACUUAGAGAAAAAAAUGGGCGUAUUUGGAGCCGGAUGGAAACAUGGGCAGAUUUGGAGCAGUGUGAAGACGGCGCAUGCUGGUGUUGCAAUGACCAAAAGCGCCGAAGUGAAAGAAGAGAUGGAAUGACAAUGACGCAACCUUGUAGCGUGAUUCUUGUAUGUAUA
rnacentral:lncRNA from 1 species